GAGGGCGUAGCUCAGUUGGUAGAGCAGCGGCCUUUUAAGCCGUUUGUCGAGGGUUCGAGUCCCUCCGCCCUCA
rnacentral:tRNA from 1 species